CUUUCUAAUUCGCCGUUCAAUCAUCAGAUAGCCGGGCGUGGUGCUGAGAAGUUUGCACUGCAACGGAGCCAUCAGCCGGUUAACAAUAUGGAGUCGUCACGUGGGUCCUCGGCUGCCGCUGCCGUCCUCGUCCUUCUGCUUCUCCUUGUGACCACCGAGGUGGUUACAUCCCAGGCCUACGGGAGAAAGGUGUGCUCAAAGCCGAGUGGCAAGUUCAAUGGUCCGUGCCUCUUUAGAGUCGACUGUGUACUAGACUGCAAGAAGGAAGGAUUCCCUCGGGGCCGUUGCAGCAAAUUUGCAGGCAAAUGCUUAUGCAGCCAUCAGGGAUGCCCUUAUUAGUUUAAGAAAGACAAUUUAAAGUUGUCUAUCGCUAUGAAGUUGUAUGCAUUGUUUAUCUAUUUCUUUAUUUAAAAAUCAUGGUUACAAAGGAUCCCGUAAACCAAAACAAACAAUUACCUUUGGCAUGUAGAUUUUACGUGCCAAUUAUGAGAUAUACAGAGUAAAAAAAUCGUUGCAGUUGUACUCCAGUGAAGCAUAUGUAUGUCUAAUAAAAACACAGGUACAUAAAAAAAUCAACGUCUUUAGCGACU